UACGUAGGGUGCGAGCGUUAAUCGGAAUUACUGGGCGUAAAGCGUGCGCAGGCGGUUUUGUAAGACAGACGUGAAAUCCCCGGGCUCAACCUGGGAACUGCGUUUGUGACUGCAAGGCUAGAGUGCGGCAGAGGGGGGUAGAAUUCCACGUGUAGCAGUGAAAUGCGUAGAGAUGUGGAGGAAUACCGAUGGCGAAGGCAGCCCCCUGGGUCGACACUGACGCUCAUGCACGAAAGCGUGGGGAGCAAACAGG
rnacentral:rRNA from 1 species